UUGACGCCGCCAACGAGCAGCAGACACGGCUUGACCCCGGUCAAGCUCAAUCGGAGUCUCCGGGACCCAAUCCUGGAGCGUGUCGUAACCCCAGCGGUCAUCAACAAGCCAAAGGAUCUUCCUCACAUCGCACUUCCGGCCAGAAGGGCGAGGGCAACCACGACCGGCGUUCUCAGCGCCAGAGCGAGCAUACUUCGAGCCGGCGUC
rnacentral:lncRNA from 1 species